rnacentral:rRNA from 1 species
UACACAUGCAAGUCGAACGAUGAUCUCCAGCUUGCUGGGGGGAUUAGUGGCGAACGGGUGAGUAACACGUGAGUAACCUGCCCUUGACUCUGGGAUAAGCCUGGGAAACUGGGUCUAAUACUGGAUACGACCUUCCCACGCAUGUGGUGUUGGUGGAAAGCUUUUGUGGUUUUGGAUGGACUCGCGGCCUAUCAGCUUGUUGGUGGGGUAAUGGCCUACCAAGGCGACGACGGGUAGCCGGCCUGAGAGGGUGGACGGCCACACUGGGACUGAGACACGGCCCAGACUCCUACGGGAGGCAGCAGUGGGGAAUAUUGCACAAUGGGCGCAAGCCUGAUGCAGCGACGCCGCGUGAGGGAUGAAGGCCUUCGGGUUGUAAACCUCUUUCAGUAGGGAAGAAGCGAAAGUGACGGUACCUGCAGAAGAAGCGCCGGCUAACUACGUGCCAGCAGCCGCGGUAAUACGUAGGGCGCAAGCGUUAUCCGGAAUUAUUGGGCGUAAAGAGCUCGUAGGCGGUUUGUCGCGUCUGCCGUGAAAGUCCGGGGCUUAACUCCGGAUCUGCGGUGGGUACGGGCAGACUUGAGUGAUGUAGGGGAGACUGGAAUUCCUGGUGUAGCGGUGAAAUGCGCAGAUAUCAGGAGGAACACCGAUGGCGAAGGCAGGUCUCUGGGCAUUAACUGACGCUGAGGAGCGAAAGCAUGGGGAGCGAACAGGU